GAAUGUGAGGCUGAUGGCCGCGACAUGUCACCUCACUGAUCUCCAGGGUUGAUUGGGCUUAUGUGGCCAAGGUGGGUGUCCUCUUCCCCAGUCACUGCUCCACGUGUGCUCCUCCUGAAGUGGUUGGUUGAAGAGGAUGACCUUCCUCCAUAGAGGAGAACCAUUCCUUGAUAAAGGGCAGCUGUUCUCCCCUGCGAAAACCUCCAAACAAGCUCUCCAGUAGGGUUUAUGCUAGAAAUGCACCAUUGGUUCAAUAUUAGAGACAAAUUGCUACUUUAAUUUACCACAUUAAGAGAUUAAAGAAG
rfam:TPA: Bos taurus chromosome 4, whole genome shotgun sequence.